UGGGGAAUAUUGGGCAAUGGGCGAAAGCCUUACCCAGCAACGCCGCGUGAGGGAAGAAGGUUUUCGGAUUGUAAACCUCUGUCCUGGGGGACGAAGGAAGUGACGGUACUCCGGGAGGAAGCCCCGGCUAACUACGUGCCAGCAGCCGCGGUAAUACGUAGGGGGCGAGCGUUGUCCGGAAUUAUUGGGCGUAAAGGGGCGCGUAGACGGCCGAGUAAGUUAUAGGUGAAAGCCCAUCUUUCAAGGAUGGAAUUGCCUGUAAUACUGCCUGGCUUGAGUGCAGGAGAGGGAAGCGGAAUUCCUAGUGUAGCGGUGAAAUGCGUAGAUAUUAGGAGGAACACCAGUGGCGAAGGCGGCUUUCUGGACUGUAACUGACGUUGAGGCGCGAAAGCGUGGGGAGCAAACAGGAUUAGAUACC
rnacentral:rRNA from 1 species